ACACUCCCAAGUCAGGUGGAGGAAACAAAGGCAUAGUCUGAGAUUCUUUAGAUUCCAGACAUGCUGCUAGACUGCCGGCGUCCUGGAGCCCUGGGCUCCCAGGACCGUGGCACGUUUUGGGUGGUGAUCCAGAAUCCGAGAAAGGCUGAAUCGGAAUCUCGAGUUAGGAGGUGCCUUCAAGGGCAUGGCACCUAAUGGGCAGCUGUGCCAGCACCUCCCAGGCGGCCUCCCGCUCCACAGCCCCUGCAAGCCCCGCACACUUUGAUGGAUGCAGAGAUGAUGGAGGCAUAAACACUUGGGUUUUACCUACAGCUGUGCCGCCGUCCAGGAGCACUGGGGCCUGGGCCUCUCGACCCUCUGUCUUCACGGCCAGCCCCGGGGCCAGCCUGGAUGGGGUGUCUGGGAUGGUUGUGUGAUCUGCGGUCUCCGCUCCGCCUCCACCCCAGGCCCAGCCCUCCGGCCCCCCGCUGGAGCCCGGCAGGAGUUCCUGUUUCCUCUCCACUGCCUUCUUGUCUCCCUCCUCAUGUCUCCAGCCAGCCUCCCACACUUGGUUCAGAAGCCUCCUCGGAGCAGCUGGUCCUGUCAUCCUUGGGGAGUGGCCCUCUCUCCAGGGCCUCCUGGGCCCCACAGAGCCCCACUGGGACUGUGCUCGUCUCAGGGAGGAGAGAGGUGGAGCAUGGCUAUCCUGCUGGUGGCAAACAUUCUGACACCUACCUGCAGGUUGAUACCUGGGCUUUCUCUAUUGUCAGGGUUGGCUAUUGGUUCUGGGGCCUCUAUAAUGCUUCCAAGGCAACGGUUUGAACAUUUCUAUUCCAAAAGUCCAAGGUACCAAGAUUUUAUGGCUCGAAAUCUCUGCACACAAUGAGAUCCUAAGACACCAGAGCUCUGAGGUUCUGGGGUUUGUGCUGGAGGCCCCACCCCUGUCUCACCCUAGAGGAGGCUCAGCCUAGCUGCAUGCUUUGAAUGCAGACCUGGCCUAGGAGGAACAGCAGAGACACCAGUUCCCUACCCCUUCUUGAUUGCCCAGCCCCUGACCAGCCAGAGAGGUGCAGGGCUUCAUUGCUUGCCUGGGUGCUGGCCAGAGAGGUGCAGGUCUUCAUUGCUGGCCUGGGUGCUGGCCAGUGGCAGGUGCAUAAGGCCUACUGAGUCAGGGGCCCAGCUGGAUCUUCUGUCCUGAGCUAGGAAUAGUCUUUUGCCUUCUAUACCACUCUCCCUGCACCUGGCUGGAGUGAGGACUCAUGAGAAGGGGGCUGGGUCUGGUGGCAGACGUAGCGGGACCCCCACCCCGCACCACUGUGGACCUACCAUGAGAUCAGGGGCAAGCCACCCCUUUUGCAGAGCCCUGCUGUCCUCACCUGCCAGAUGGACAUAACUGUGCCCACCUGGGGCUUGUCGUGAACAUGACUUGAGACGGUGUCUCUGGACGAGCACAUAGUAAGAGCACAAUAAAGGGUAGUAUUCGUGUUAUUAUGAUCA
rnacentral:lncRNA from 12 species